AUGCUGGCUUCGGCAGCACAUGUGCUAAAACUGGAAUGAUACAGAGAUUAGCAUGGCCCUUGCACAAGGAUGACACAAAUUCGUGAAGCUUUCCAUACUUUU